CUGACGUUCGGCUGGGCUGUACCCCUGUCUGUUUUUGGCACAAGGCGUUUAACCCGGCCAUAACCCUGCAGGGGUAGGCUGGCGCCAUGACCAUUGGCUCCGAUUAUCCCGCUCCGGUGAUCGUGAAUGGCUAUUCGUGCAGGAAUUGCACGGAUGUGGGCAAUGCCAAAAA
rnacentral:misc_RNA from 1 species